GGCGGGCCCCGCGCCCGCCGACGGCCCCCCUGAACGCUGUCUGAAGUUGCAGUCUGAGACCUAUAACGAAAUUAGUUAAAACUUUCAACAACGGAUCUCUUGGUUCCGGCAUCGAU
rnacentral:misc_RNA from 1 species